rnacentral:rRNA from 1 species
GACAGAGGUGCCGAGCGUUAGGCGGAAUCACUGGGCUUAAAGCGUGUGUAGGCGGGCCGUUAAGUGUCUUGUGAAAUCCCCCGGCUCAACCGGGGAACUGCUGGGCAUACUGGCGGCCUUGAGAGACCUAGGGGCGAGCGGAACAAGCGGUGGAGCGGUGAAAUGCGUAGAUAUCUGGAGGAAUACCGGAGGCGAAGGCGGCCAACUGGGAAUGCAUUGACACUGAGGUGCGAAAGCGUGGGGAGCAAACAGG